AUGACGUCAAGUCCUCAUGGCCUUUAUGCCUAGGGCUACACACGUGCUACAAUGGCCGGUACAAAGGGCAGCCACUUAGCGAUAAGGAGCCAAUCCCGUAAAGCCGGUCUCAGUCCGGAUUGGAGUCUGCAACUCGACUCCAUGAAGUUGGAAUCGCUAGUAAUCGCAGAUCAGCACGCUGCGGUGAAUACGUUCCCGGGCCUU
rnacentral:rRNA from 1 species